CGUCCCGGCUAGACUGCAGUCGAGCGAACGGACGAGAAGCUUGCUUCUCUGAUGUUAGCGGCGGACGGGUGAGUAACACGUGGAUAACCUACCUAUAAGACUGGGAUAACUUCGGGAAACCGGAGCUAAUACCGGAUAAUAUUUUGAACCGCAUGGUUCAAAAGUGAAAGACGGUCUUGCUGUCACUUAUAGAUGGAUCCGCGCUGCAUUAGCUAGUUGGUAAGGUAACGGCUUACCAAGGCAACGAUGCAUAGCCGACCUGAGAGGGUGAUCGGCCACACUGGAACUGAGACACGGUCCAGACUCCUACGGGAGGCAGCAGUAGGGAAUCUUCCGCAAUGGGCGAAAGCCUGACGGAGCAACGCCGCGUGAGUGAUGAAGGUCUUCGGAUCGUAAAACUCUGUUAUUAGGGAAGAACAUAUGUGUAAGUAACUGUGCACAUCUUGACGGUACCUAAUCAGAAAGCCACGGCUAACUACGUGCCAGCAGCCGCGGUAAUACGUAGGUGGCAAGCGUUAUCCGGAAUUAUUGGGCGUAAAGCGCGCGUAGGCGGUUUUUUAAGUCUGAUGUGAAAGCCCACGGCUCAACCGUGGAGGGUCAUUGGAAACUGGAAAACUUGAGUGCAGAAGAGGAAAGUGGAAUUCCAUGUGUAGCGGUGAAAUGCGCAGAGAUAUGGAGGAACACCAGUGGCGAAGGCGACUUUCUGGUCUGUAACUGACGCUGAUGUGCGAAAGCGUGGGGAUCAAACAGGAUUAGAUACCCUGGUAGUCCACGCCGUAAACGAUGAGUGCUAAGUGUUAGGGGGUUUCCGCCCCUUAGUGCUGCAGCUAACGCAUUAAGCACUCCGCCUGGGGAGUACGACCGCAAGGUUGAAACUCAAAGGAAUUGACGGGGACCCGCACAAGCGGUGGAGCAUGUGGUUUAAUUCGAAGCAACGCGAAGAACCUUACCAAAUCUUGACAUCC
rnacentral:rRNA from 1 species